GGAACACGACCGCCCAUGACUAAGAUAACUCAGUAAUACAUCAUACAUUACAGGAUUUUUAUCAAUCCAAGUUUCCAUGCUGUUAUGUUUUUAUGAUUACUUUUUCUGUUGCUAUCCUCUUGGCGACCCAUACGUUAUAUGGGACCAAGAGGUAAAACGCUGUUGGAAUGCAAGCCAAAUGCCUUGAAACAGAAAGCUCCCUGCACUAACCAAGUGUCUUAUUCCUUUCUGUAAAUGCGUGAUACACAUACGGUGACCUGGCUUCUGCGUAAGCCACGUAGUCCCAAGAUACCGCAUACGUAUCAGUGCUAAACACAAAAGAUGUCAAAAAAAAGGUUAAAGCCUGAUAAAAUGCAAACAAAUCAGAUACCAAUACAUGAAUGGUUACAUGUUCUGACAAACAUAUUCUUCCUUUCUGUAAAUCCUAUGACACAAGUGUUAUGAAAUGGCUUUUGCAUAAGCCUAUACUGUCACACCACUGCAUUUCUAACAGUACAAAAAUAAAGAAUUAAAAAAAAAAACACAACUAGAAGAAACAUGUAGGCAACAAUACAAUACAAUAUAAUACUCUGAACAAGGAGAAUCCAAGGGAACGUGGAUAUAUUAAAAUCUGCAGUAUUUUCUCUUCAUUUUUUACAAUAUGCAAAUAUGUGUCAAUAUGCAAAUUGUAUAUAUAAUGCCCAUAACUGUAACAAGGCUUCAACCAAUAGAUUGGCAUUCCAC